GGCCUCCUAGUGCUUAUGACAGGCUGUGUUCUUACACUGACUGUACAGAAAAAGGAGAUAGACUAAACCUACCCCACAUACACCUCAUGCCAGGUCCUGUGCUUAGUCUAUAUUGUGAAUGGGAGACAUGG
rnacentral:snoRNA from 1 species